GCGGAUGGGAAGAAGGAGGGAUGUGUUCAUCCAGACAUGUCAAAGUCUUUCCUGAUCACACUUUGGCGCAAGAAAAAAAGUUGAGUGAGUUGAUGGCUCCGGUCGUCUCGCAGAGGUUUUAACAAUCGCAGCGUCGAAGGAGGGUGUUACCAAACUGCAGAGCAGCUGUAGAAAGGACAGAUCCUUGUGUCUGAAACUUGAAAUUGUAUCUGGCCAAUUACUCCGAGCCAUCCCGGUCCCUGCUCCACCCCCUCUCUGCUGAUCUGGGGAGUGCCCUGACCAACCAGAGGAGGCGCUAGUGCAACGACCAGGACAAAUACCCACAUCCGACCACCCACACGGCCAAUUGUGUGUGUAAGGACGCCUGACCAAGCCGGAGGUAACACGGUGAUUCGACCCGGUGAUCCUGUGUUGGUAGGCAACGGAAUAGACCGCUACGCUACGUGGACGCCCGAGGCAGUAAAUAGGUGGAAGGUGAGAGAUUUACUGCGCUGUGCACAACACCACCUUGGAGGUAAUGAAAGCAAG